rfam:Nematostella vectensis strain CH2 x CH6 NEMVEscaffold_310_Cont23314, whole genome shotgun sequence.
GAGGAAAAGAAACUAACAAGGAUUCCCCUAGUAAUGGCGAAUGAAGCGGGAACAGCUCAAAUUUAAAAUCUCCGUUGCUUGCAACGGCGAAUUGUAGUUUCGAGAAGCACUUUCUCGGCGGAUCCGAGGUCGUCCAAGUUGCUUGGAACAGCACGUCGUAUAGGGUGACAACCCCGUCUGCGGCGAUCUCGGCCGUUCACGAUGUGCUUUCGACGAGUCGGGUUGUUUGGGAAUGCAGCCCAAAAUGGGUGGUAAACUCCAUCUAAAGCUAAAUAUUGGCACGAGACCGAUAGCGAACAAGUACCGUGAGGGAAAGAUGAAAAGCACUUUGAAAAGAGAGUUAAAAAGUAAGUGAAACCGUUAAAAGGGAAACGAAUGGGGUUAGCAAUGCGUCGUGCGAGAUUCAGCCGGUGGGUGGGCCAGGCGGGCGGUUGGCGGAUCUGAAUGGACCGCUGCCGUUCGGGUUGGUUUCCCGACCGUCGCACUUCUCGCAGGCGCGCGCCAACGUCGGUUAGGGCUGGGUCUCAAAGGCGGUGGAAAGGUAGGUUUGGACUCUCAGGCCCGAACUGUUACAGUCCUCCGUUUGUCAUGGCCCGGACCUGACCGAGGAGCUUGCGGUGCAUGCCGUUCGGCUAGGGUCCCGUCUUCCCGGUCGGUCGUCGAAUGCGGUGGACUUCGUGCAGUGCGCCGCGACUGCUGCCGGUCGCGAGGGCGGUGAUUUCGUACUAUGUACCCACGACGUUGGCGGUCAUAUGGCCUCAUCCGACCCGUCUUGAAACACGGACCAAGGAGUCUAACAUGUGUGCGAGUCUUUGAGUGACCGAAACUCCGAGGCGUAAUGAAAGUGAAGGCGACUUCGGUCGCUGAGGUGAGAGCCUUUUUCCAAAAAAAGAAGGCGCAUCAUUGACCGACCUAUUCUACUCUUAGAAAGGUUUGAGUAAGAGCGCAUCUGUUGGGACCCGAAAGAUGGUGAACUAUGCCUGAAUAGGGUGAAGCCAGAGGAAACUCUGGUGGAGGCUCGUAGCGAUUCUGACGUGCAAAUCGAUCGUCAAAUUUGGGUAUAGGGGCGAAAGACUAAUCGAACUGUCUAGUAGCUGGUUCCCUCCGAAGUUUCCCUCAGGAUAGCUGGAACUUACGGCAGUUUUAUUAAGUAAAGCGAAUGAUUAGAGGUCUUAGGGUUAAAACAACCUUAACCUAUUCUCAAACUUUAAAUUGGUAAGAAGUCCGACUUGCUUAAUUGAAGCCGGACAGUGAAUGCGAGUUCCUAGUGAGCCAUUUUUGGUAAGCAGAA